GACGAACGCUGGCGGCGUGCUUAACACAUGCAAGUCGAACGGAAAGGCCCUGCUUUUGUGGGGUGCUCGAGUGGCGAACGGGUGAGUAACACGUGAGUAACCUGCCCUUGACUUUGGGAUAACUUCAGGAAACUGGGGCUAAUACCGGAUAGGAGCUCCUGCUGCAUGGGGGGGGUUGGAAAGUUUCGGCGGUUGGGGAUGGACUCGCGGCUUAUCAGCUUGUUGGUGGGGUAGUGGCUUACCAAGGCUUUGACGGGUAGCCGGCCUGGGAGGGUGACCGGCCACAUUGGGCCUGCGAUACGGCCCAGACUCCUACGGUAGGCAGAAGUGGGGAAUCUUGCACAAUGGGCGGACGCCUGAUGCAGCAACGCCGCGUGCGGGAUGACGGCCUUCGGGUUGUAAACCGCUUUCGCCUGUGACGAAGCGUGAGUGACGGUAAUGGGUAAAGAAGCACCGGCUAACUACGUG
rnacentral:rRNA from 1 species